rnacentral:rRNA from 1 species
GAUGAACGCUGGCGGCGUGCCUAAUACAUGCAAGUCGAGCGAACAGACGAGGAGCUUGCUCCUCUGACGUUAGCGGCGGACGGGUGAGUAACACGUGGAUAACCUACCUAUAAGACUGGGAUAACUUCGGGAAACCGGAGCUAAUACCGGAUAAUAUAUUGAACCGCAUGGUUCAAUAGUGAAAGACGGUUUUGCUGUCACUUAUAGAUGGAUCCGCGCUGCAUUAGCUAGUUGGUAAGGUAACGGCUUACCAAGGCAACGAUGCGUAGCCGACCUGAGAGGGUGAUCGGCCACACUGGAACUGAGACACGGUCCAGACUCCUAAGGGAGGCAGCAGUAGGGAAUCUUCCGCAAUGGGCGAAAGCCUGACGGAGCAACGCCGCGUGAGUGAUGAAGGUCUUCGGAUCGUAAAACUCUGUUAUUAGGGAAGAACAAAUGUGUAAGUAACUGUGCACGUCUUGACGGUACCUAAUCAGAAAGCCACGGCUAACUACGUG